rnacentral:rRNA from 1 species
AACGUAGGAGACAAACGUUAUCCGGAGUUACUGGGCGUAAAGCGCACGUAGGCGGCUUGGUAUGUCGGGUGUGAAAUCCCCGGGCUCAACCUGGGAACUGCAUCCGAAACUGCCUUGCUCGAGUAUGGGAGAGGGAAGUGGAAUUUCCGGUGUAGCGGUGAAAUGCGUAGAUAUCGGAAGGAACAUCAGUGGCGAAGGCGACUUCCUGGACCAAUACUGACGCUCAGGUGCGAAAGCGUGGGGAGCAAACAGG